ACACAAUUGCAGUAUAGCAAUGUAAUUUAUAGUUAAAUUUGAUUCAGUGCAGUUUCAUGUGAUGUUACAGAGCUGUUCUUUGACAAUUUGUCGUUUUCUCAACAGUUGAGCCUGGGUAAGAAUCUUUCACACGUUUCAGAAAUGGGUGUUUCCACUAACAAAGUAUGGUCUUAUAUUUUGGAGUCAUCUUUUCUAUUAAUGAGGCCUGAUGUUUAUUGUUACUGAGACAUAUGUGCGAGUAUCGUUUAAAAAAAUAAUCACCUUUACGUUAGAAAGAAAACCUCUCCAUGUGAUUCUAAGAGAUCAGUUCUGGGUCUGAGUCUGGACCUGAGAACAGGUCUGAGUCCAGUGCUGUCAGGACAAGUGACUACCCACAUCUCUGUGCUACAUCCCCAUGCCCGGGCUGGGUUGUAUGUCAGCCGCCAUAUAACCGGAUACCUGCUGGUUUCAGCAUUGCUAUUUUCAAGGCAUUAUGCAAAUAUUAACUUAGUUAUAACAAUCGGCAAUGACAUGUAUGAAUUAUUUUAAUCUAUGUUUUAAAAGAAAUUGCACAUGCAUUAUUGUUAUAAUAUUCCCCUCCUUAUUGCAGGCAUGCAUCCUAAUGAUCAUUAAUUUUGGUUUUAUUGCAAAAGUAGCAUCUCUCAUAAAGGAUUUAGAUGUUUGCUUCCUAUUUAGUCUUUAUUGGACAACGACUUGUUCAGGUUUUAGGACAUGAAGGAUUCUCUGUCUCUGGGGCUUCACUUUAGCUGUGGCAAAGCAAGUGUGCUGGAGGAUGUGAAAAAAAGCACAUUUUACUGGCUUUGAAAAUGAAAUACGUUGUGGUGAUGAUUUUACUCAGCUGUAAAAGACAGCUGAGUAGAUGACUGCAAGCAUGGAAGUUUUGGUUUGAGGACUUACAAAUUCCCAUCCUAUUAGCUGGGUAAUAAAAGAAGCAUUUGUUGCAAAAA